UCAUGCUGUGAUUUCUGACGUAGGUAGUGAAUGGAAUUCUUCAGCGAACAGAUUGGGAGGAGGCGAUAAAGAUGCCAAUUGGGGUAGUUCCAGCAGGUACAGGAAAUGGCAUGGCUAAAUCACUUCUGCAUGCUGCCAUUGAGACGUGCUCGGUUUCAAAUGCUGUAUUUGCCAUUAUCAAAGGUCACAAGCAGUCCUUGGAUGUGUGUACCAUUUUGCAAGGGGAGAAGAAAUUUUUUAGUGUCUUGUUAAUGACUUGGGGCAUGUAACAAACUUUAUAAAGCAGUGUCAAAUUUCUAAGGAACUUUUCCGGUAGCUAUCUGAUUAACUUUUCAGAAAAAAACAAAAAUCAUCAUAGGUUUAGUGGCUGACAUAGAUAUUGAGUCUGAGAAAUACAGGGAAGUGCACCCUUCGACUUCUAUGUAUGUACUGAACCAUUCCCAUUUCUUGGCA